rnacentral:tRNA from 1 species
AAAAAUUUAGUUAAAUAAUAACAUUAGUUUGUCAAACUAAAAUUGUUCAAUAAACAAUUUUUA